rnacentral:rRNA from 1 species
CAGCCGUAAACAAUGUGCGUUAGGUGUGUCGGUAACCACGCGUUACUGAUGCGCCGAAGAGAAAUCGUGAAACGCACCACCUGGGAAGUACGGUCGCAAGGCUGAAACUUAAAGGAAUUAGGCGGGGGAGCACCACAACAGGUGGAGCCUGCGGUUUAAUUGGAUUCAACGCCGGACAUCUCACCGGAUAAGACAGCUGAAUGAUUGUCAAUCUGAAGGUUUUACAUGACUAGCUGAGAGGUGGUGCAUGGCGUCAGUGACU